GCGGGGUUAGCUCAGCUGGGAGAGCGUCAGACUGAAGUCCACUUCACUCUUGAAAUCUGAAGGUCAUGUGUUCGAUCCACAUACACCGCA
rnacentral:tRNA from 1 species